AAAAUGUGAGACGCAAAUACAAAUUGGAUCAAAUAUUGGACAAGUGAAGUACCAACCUAAGCCACCAAUCGCUUAAGUGUGCUGUUUGUCUAUUGUCAAAAUUACAUACGUGCUUUCUGAUAACAAUAAUAAUGACUCUUACGAGUAUCAAAGUGACAGCUAAUUUAAUUAAAUGCUUAUGACAUAAAUUUGGCCACAUUGAUAUAUAAAAGUGGUUUAGUGAAUUUUAGUAAUAUUUGGAAGUAACAUUGAUACCAAAUUAUUUAUCAUUUAUCAUUAUGUUAUUAUUUAACCAGUUAUGUCAGAGCCGGAAGUCAACCAUGCCUAAAGUAAAAUUACGCGUGUGCGUAGACAUGCACGUGCGCGGGCGCUGAUUUAUUAGAGCUGUGAACGCAUACGUCACGCAAGCGGUGUGACGUCUCUCACAAGAAUCUGUAUUUCACAACGCACACGUAUCCGGUGUGCCUUAACCUUCUGAACGCCAGACGGCGAAGGAGUAAUCCGUGCCCCGGACGCCAGGAAAUCACGAUUAUUCAAGCGAAAUUGAACUUUACGGUGUCUCGAGUAAUUAAAGUUCCUAUUGCAUUGGCGAAGCUGUCGUUGGCGUCCUUGGCAAGAAUUUCCGAUGACGGCCAUAGCCGACUGUACGGGUCAAAAGGUUAAGACUUGAUACCAUGUCUUCGAUAUUGCGUACCACAAUUACCAUAUUGUGCACCUAUAUUUCUAUUAUGGAUAUGGGACUAUUUACCCACUCUCACAAGUUCGCAACUCGUAACAUGAAAAUUACUUAGACCAAUAAUGAGAAUUUAUUAUUUAAUAAUCGCGAGUUGCUACUGUAGAAUAUUGUUGUCAGAUGGUCUGCCGGCCUAGCCAAGGUUACAAUCGCUAUCGCUUCGACAACGAAAAGCAUUAUGUCUCUCUAUCACUCUUCCGUAUUAGUGACAGUGACAGCUGCGUUUCGAUCGCUACGGAGCGUAAGCGAUUGACAUCUUGGCUACGCGGCCUGUUCAACGUUAACUUAUAAGGUAAACUACCCUAUCGUCGGCACCCCUCCAAUGGCUGGCACCUUCAACCUGCCUUAAAAGCAGAAAUUGCGACCUUCCCAUUAAACUAAGUGUACUUUUAAAUGCUAAUCAUUGGAUGGUUUACUCUACUGUUUAAAUGGAAUGGCAAUCAUGUGUUGGAUGUAUAAAUCUAGCGGACUGUGAUUUUAAUGAGACUAAGUAACGGAAUUGUAUAUAAAUAGGUAUUGUGAAUUGCUAUUGAGCGUGUUGCUAUUAUAUUAAAAAUACAAUUUAAAAAUUGUCAAUGACAAUACCAGUUUUAAACAUUGUAUAUUCAACAACCAAAAUGCCAAACCAAAUGUUUUAAUUUUUCAUUUUUUGGCUUGUACGUAUUUGUUAGUAUGAUAUUAUAAAGAGCUAAGAGGGUCAAGGGUCAUUUAACUUUUCUUAGCGUUACCCUGCCCGAAAGCAAUCCGAAUUCAGCUAUUAUACAUACGCUUCUAAUUGCUGCAAAAUAGUAUUUUACAAAUCGUAGAGAAUCGUAAAAAUAAAUGAAUCGGAAAUCAUCAUCAAUCAUCAUGUAAUCAAGUUACAAGUUAAUGCAGCCAUUCUCUAAGUGUGUUCCGCGCAACCCUAGGGUUCCGCGACACCCCUGCAGGGGUUCUCAAGAAUUUAGAACACUAUGCUUUAGUCGCCUCGAAAAAUUUUACUAUGCAAAAAACGCACUUCUAAAAACUAUUGUUUUAUUGUAGGGUUCCAUCAAGUAUUUUCGCUUUCCAAAAGGGCCCCGUCAAAAAAAAAGAUUGUGAACCGCUGAGUUAAUGUAAUUUGACCCAUACAUGAACCGUGUAUGAAAUAUCAUUUGAUAUUUACCAGUUGCUUUUCGGUGAAGGAAAACAUCGUGAGGAAACCGGACUAAUCCAAGGCCUACAGGCCUAUUCGGAUUUCGAGAUAAUCACAAGAUCUUGAGACGAUUUAGAGAUCAACUAGAUCUACAUUAGAUAUCGACUAGAUGUGACUUGGAUAUCUAAGUCAUAACUUGUCGAAAUCGUUCAAGAGGACCUCCAGAAUCGCGGAAACGUCAAAUUUGACAUAUCUAUCUUACAAAUAUCUUUAAAUUAUCCGUAUCGUAACUUGUUGAAGUCUAGUAGAAAUCUAAUUCAUUUUCCGAAUCGAGCCGCUAGUUUCUUCUUCGGGUUGGAAGGUCAGAUGGCAGUCCACGCUUUCGUAAAAACUAGGGCCUAUGUCAAUUUUUGGGAUUACUUCUCAAGCGGACCCCAGACUCCCAUGAGUCGUAGCAAAAUGCCAGGAUAACACGAGGAAGAAGAAGAAGACAUGAAUCGUAAACAUUGUAAAAUUAAUGUUGUAAUGAAAUGCAGAAUUAUUGAUUGUUUAACAAAGAAAAUCGGAACCUAAGAAGAUUAUUUCUUUAUUAAUUAAGGUGCAUGCGUAAUCCUUAGUUUAAAACAUAAUGUAUUUAUGUAACUAUAGUAGUCAAUUGUUCCUAGAAUUAUUAGCAUCAUUCCUUAGCGCCAAUUUUGCACCAAGUGCAUGAAUAAUGUUAUUGUAUCUGUUCUGUCGAAUUUUAAAAUGAUUUGGAGCUAUGACACGUAACGUAACUUUAUUUACUUUAAAAUUGUAACUAUACCAAGUACCCGAGAGAUUUUAACCACGCAUUUCUGAGGCCAAUUGAAGGAAAAAAUGUUAUACAUAUAUAAGUUUAGGUCAAUUUCACCAAAAAUUAAAUUGCUUUUAACUCUGAAACUAGGCAAAUUACAAAAAAGUUUAUAGGAUAUUUUAGUCUUUAAAUAUUAUCAGUAAAAUAGUGUUAAAAUCUCUAAGGUUCCUCGUGUGGACGUUGUAUGUACCCAGAACAGGUGGUUAAAAGCAUCUUCAUACAAAAAAAAACCUAGUUCCUGUUCUUAACAUGACAUCUACCUAACCCUUUGAACGCCACGCCUAUCGUAUGCGGCGUGUCAUUGUGUACCUUGUCGGAAUACACAAAGGUUGAUAUUUGGCUGUAGCUGGUCAUUUAACAUAUUUGGCGGUCAAACGGUUAAGGACCCAGUGGUUGUCACCAAAUUAAACGAAUUUAUACAACUUACAAAUGUUUAAACAAAUCAAAUAAUUAAAUGUUAUUGUUUUAAUAAACAAGAAAAGAGGAUCAAGAGACAAGAUUAUAACAUUUAUAACUUUACUAUUCUUCAAAUAUGUAUAUCGUCAUAUUUUUUAAGGGAAAAUGCUCUCAGUUAAGUGUAUCAUUCCAAUUAUAAAUGUAAUAAACUAGAUAUGAAUGCAUUAAGAUUGUAUGUACAAUUUGCGGUAUGUUUUUAGUGAGAUGCUACGUAGAUCAGUAUUCAUAUGUGAUUUUGUUACAGGCAUGUAUGAAAUAUAUUUUAUUAAAGAUGUUAAUACUGUUUUUUUUUGCGCUCAAGUUAUGAAAUGAAUAUACUUAACUUACUUAAGUCAUAUUUUUAAUAAGCUAGAGUAAAUUGACGAGGUCGUCUUAAAAUAUAGACAAAAAUGAAAUAACAGUGUAGAUAAUUUAGAAUACCUAACUUUCAUUCAUAAAAGUGUUCUGCUUAUUAUGACGAUACAGUAAGUUAUUCUUCAACUUUGCUUGAUAACGCUUG